rnacentral:rRNA from 1 species
GACGAACGCUGGCGGCGUGCCUAAUACAUGCAAGUAGAACGCACAGUUUAUACCGUAGCUUGCUACACCAUAGACUGUGAGAUGCGAACGGGUGAGUAACGCGUAGGUAACCUGCCUGGUAGCGGGGGAUAACUAUUGGAAACGAUAGCUAAUACCGCAUAAUAUUGAUUAUUGCAUGAUAAUUAAUUGAAAGGUGCAAUUGCACCACUACCAGAUGGACCUGCGUUGUAUUAGCUAGUAGGUGAGGUAACGGCUCACCUAGGCGACGAUACAUAGCCGACCUGAGAGGGUGAUCGGCCACACUGGGACUGAGACACGGCCCAGACUCCUACGGGAGGCAGCAGUAGGGAAUCUUCGGCAAUGGACGAAAGUCUGACCGAGCAACGCCGCGUGAGUGAAGAAGGUUUUCGGAGCGUAAAGCUCGGUUGUAAGAGAAGAACGGGUGUGAGAGUGGAAAGUUCACACUGUGACGGUAUCUUACCAGAAAGGGACGGCUAACUACGUG